rnacentral:tRNA from 1 species
GGUUCCAUAGUGUAGCAGUUAGCAUGCAUGCUUUACAUGCAGAAGGUCCUGGGUUUGCACCCUAGUGGAGCUG